rnacentral:rRNA from 1 species
UACGUAGGGUGCGAGCGUUGUCCGGAAUUAUUGGGCGUAAAGCGCACGUAGGCGGCUUGGCAAGUCGGAUGUGAAAUCCCUCGGCUCAACCAAGGAAGUGCAUCCGAAACUGCCGAGCUUGAGUACUUAAGAGGAUCGCGGAAUUCCCGGUGUAGAGGUGAAAUUCGUAGAUAUCGGAAGGAACAUCAGUGGCGAAAGCGACUUCCUGGACCAGUACCGACGUUCAGGCACGAAAGCGUGGGGAGCAAACAGG